rnacentral:rRNA from 1 species
UGGGGAAUAUUGGACAAUGGGGGCAACCCUGAUCCAGCGAUGCCGCGUGAGUGAAGAAGGCCUUCGGGUCGUAAAGCUCUUUAGGUUGGGAAGAAGGAUGGUUGAGGAAAUGCGAUCAUUUUGACGGUACCGACAGAAUAAGCACCGGCAAACUCUGUG